GACACAGCCCUUUCCUUCCCCAGCUGGAAGUUUUGGAGGAGCACAGGAAUUUUACAGCAUUUGUCAGCUUUCCUGAGGGCGCCCAGCCCUGGACACAGCAGUGCCAGGUGCUCCCUGUGAGUGGCCCCAGCACAAACACGUGUCCACGUUCACAUCCCACCCCAGGGCUCUGCAAAGCCUGGCUGCCCAAGCCCCCCAGGCCAUCAGGGACAUCGAGGCACGGGCUCAGGGGUCCCUGGGCUGCACUGGGAGUUCGGCCACCCCUCCUCUGCCUGCUCCCUGCUGCCCUGGCUGUUUGAGGAUUCGGAUCCUUCACUGCUGAUUCCUGCAGGAUAAAGAACAACUUCAGCCACACGUGCCUCAGUACAGGUUUCGCAAGAGGGACAAAGUGAUGUUCUAUGGGAGGAAGAUCAUGAGGAAGCAACAGCUUCUCUUUCUGGCCAGACCUUUCCUCUUUCAAGAACAUUUACAGUCACUGAAGGCAGUAAUAAA